AAUCAACGCUGGCGGCGUGCCUCAGACAUGCAAGUCGAACGAUUAAGACUCCCUUCGGGAAGUGUAUAAAGUGGCGCACGGGUGAGUAACACGUAAGUACUCUACCCUCGAGUGGGGAAUAACGUUCGGAAACGAACGCUAAUACCGCAUACUGCAGCGGCAUCGCAAGAUGACAGUUGUUAAAGGAGUAAUUCGCUUGAGGAGGAGCUUGAGGCAGAUUAGCUAGUUGGUAAGGUAACGGCUUACCAAGGCUACGAUCUGUAUCCGGUCUAAGAGGACGGUCGGACACACUGACACUGAAUAACGGGUCAGACUCCUACGGGAGGCAGCAGUCGGGAAUUUUGGGCAAUGGGCGAAAGCCUGACCCAGCAACGCCGCGUGAAGGAUGAAGUAUUUCGAUAUGUAGACUUCGAAAGAAUGGGAAGAAUAAAUGACGGUACCAUUUAUAAGCUCCGGCUAACUACGUGCCAGCCGCCGCUGUAAAAC
rnacentral:rRNA from 1 species